GGAUCGGCUAUCCUAAACCAGCCCUGCUGCACUCCACCUUCUUCCCCGCCCUGCAGGGCGCCCAGACCAAAAUGAGUGCCAGCGACCCCAACUCCUCCAUCUUCCUCACCGACACGGCCAAGCAGAUCAAAACCAAGGUCAAUAAGCAUGCGUUUUCUGGAGGGAGAGACACCAUCGAGGAGCACAGGCAGUUUGGGGGCAACUGUGAUGUGGACGUGUCUUUCAUGUACCUGACCUUCUUCCUCGAGGAUGACGACAAGCUCGAGCAGAUCAGGAAGGUGAGCAGGGAGCCCCAAGGUCCCACAGCUGCCUCCAGCCACCCACUCCUGCCCAUGGGGCCUGGAAGGCUCCAACAGCCGGGCCUGAAGGGUUGGUCGAAGGUGCUCAACUGAAACAAGGUGAAAACUGAGUAGAGUCGCCCUCAUGGUUUUUAGACCUGGGCUCAGAAGCCUCAUGAACAAAUCACGAAAGAGCAGAUACAAAUUACUAUUCAUUUAGG
rnacentral:sRNA from 1 species